rnacentral:rRNA from 1 species
UACGAAGGGGGCUAGCGUUGCUCGGAAUCACUGGGCGUAAAGGGUGCGUAGGCGGGUCUUUAAGUCAGGGGUGAAAUCCUGGAGCUCAACUCCAGAACUGCCUUUGAUACUGAAGAUCUUGAGUUCGGGAGAGGUGAGUGGAACUGCGAGUGUAGAGGUGAAAUUCGUAGAUAUCGCAAGAACACCAGUGGCGAAGGCGGCUCACUGGCCCGAUACUGACGCUGAGGCACGAAAGCGUGGGGAGCAAACAG